ACUGCUCCUAGAGGUGUUGCAGGUGUGGCUGCCGUUUGGCGCCUGCGUCAUUAGGUGGCAGAGAGCAGAGAGGCUCGCCUAUGCCCAGCGCCAUGGCCUGGAUGGUUGACGGCCUGACACG
rnacentral:snoRNA from 1 species